UAUGUAGGUGGCAAGCGUUGUCCGGAAUUACUGGGUGUAAAGGGAGCGCAGGCGGGAAGCCAAGUCAGCUGUGAAAACUACGGGCUUAACUUGUAGACUGCAGUUGAAACUGGUUUUCUUGAGUGAAGUAGAGGUUGGCGGAAUUCCGAGUGUAGCGGUGAAAUGCGUAGAUAUUCGGAGGAACACCGGUGGCGAAGGCGGCCAACUGGGCUUUAACUGACGCUGAGGCUCGAAAGUGUGGGGAGCAAACAGG
rnacentral:rRNA from 1 species